GAUGAACGCUGGCGGCGUGCUUAACACAUGCAAGUCGAACGGAAAGGCCCAAGCUUGCUUGGGUACUCGAGUGGCGAACGGGUGAGUAACACGUGGGUGAUCUGCCCUGCACUUCGGGAUAAGCCUGGGAAACUGGGUCUAAUACCGGAUAGGUCGAUGGUUUGGAUGCCAUUGUGGAAAGUUUUUUCGGUGUGGGAUGAGCUCGCGGCCUAUCAGCUUGUUGGUGGGGUAAUGGCAUACCAAGGCGUCGACGGGUAGCCGGCCUGAGAGGGUGUACGGCCACAUUGGGACUGAGAUACGGCCCAGACUCGUACGGGAGGCAGCAGUGGGGAAUAUUGCACAAUGGGCGCAAGCGUGAUGGAGGGAGGCCGCGUGGGGGAUGACGGCUUUCGGUUUGUAAACUCCUGUGGCUAGGGACGAAGCGUUGUUGUGACGGUACCUGGAGAAGAAGCACCGGCUAACUACGUG
rnacentral:rRNA from 1 species